GAUGAACGCUAGCUACAGGCUUAACACAUGCAAGUCGAGGGGAAACGAUGAGAGAGCUUGCUCUCUUAGGCGUCGACCGGCGCACGGGUGAGUAACGCGUAUCCAACCUACCCAUUACAGGGGGAUAACCUUGCGAAAGUAAGACUAAUACCCCAUGGCAUUUUAUGGUGGCAUCAUUAUAGGAUUAAAGAUUUAUUGGUAAUGGAUGGGGAUGCGUCCGAUUAGCUUGUUGGCGGGGUAACGGCCCACCAAGGCAACGAUCAGUAGGGGUUCUGAGAGGAAGGUCCCCCACAUUGGAACUGAGACACGGUCCAAACUCCUACGGGAGGCAGCAGUGAGGAAUAUUGGUCAAUGGGCGAGAGCUUGAACCAGCCAAGUAGCGUGCAGGAUGACGGCCCUAUGGGUUGUAAACUGCUUUUAUAGGGGAAUAAAGUGAGCUACGUGUAGUUUAUUGCAUGUACCCUAUGAAUAAGGACCGGCUAAUUCCGUG
rnacentral:rRNA from 1 species